UGCCAGCCGCCGCGGUAAUACGGGGGGUGCAAGCGUUAUUCGGAUUUAUUGGGCGUAAAGGGCAUGUAGGCGGCCUUGUAAGUCUGGUGUGAAAACUCUACCGCUCAACGGAGAGACUGCAUCGGAAACUACAAAGCUUGAGUGCAAGAGAGGUCAGUAGAAUACCUGGUGUAGCGGUGGAAUGCGUAGAUAUCAGGUAGAAUACCAGUGGCGAAGGCGACUGACUGGCUUGUUACUGACGCUAAGGUGCGAAAGCGUGGGGAGCGAACGGGAUUAGAUA
rnacentral:rRNA from 1 species